GACGGAGGGUGCAAGCGUUGUUCGGAAUUACUGGGCGUAAAGAGCGUGUAGGCGGCCAUACAGGUCCGUUGUGAAAACUGGAGGCUCAACUUCCAGACGUCGACGGAAACCGUGUGGCUAGAGUCCGAAAGAGGAGAGUGGAAUUCCUGGUGUAGCGGUGAAAUGCGCAGAUAUCAGGAAGAACACCAAUGGCGAAGGCAGCUCUCUGGGACGGUACUGACGCUGAGACGCGAAAGCGUGGGGAGCGAACAGG
rnacentral:rRNA from 1 species